rnacentral:rRNA from 1 species
GACGAACGCUGGCGGCGUGCUUAACACAUGCCAGUCGAACGGAAAGGCCCUGCUUUUGUGGGGUGCUCGAGUGGCGAACGGGUGAGUAACACGUGAGUAACCGGCCCUAGACUUUGGGAUAACUUCAGGAAACUGGGGCUAAUACCGGAUAGGAGCUCCUGCUGCAUGGUGGGGGUUGGAAAGUUUCGGCGGUUGGGGAUGGACGCGCGGCUUAUCAGCUUGUUGGUGGGGUAGUGGCUUACCAAGGCUUUGACGGGUAGCCGGCCUGGGAGGGUGACCGGCCACAUUGGGACUGAGAUACGGCCCAGACUCCUACGGGAGGCAGCAGUGGGGAAUAUUGCACAAUGGGCGGAAGCCUGAUGCAGCAACGCCGCGUGCGGGAUGACGGCCUUCGGGUUGUAAACCGCUUUCGCCUGUGACGAAGCGUGAGUGACGGUAAUGGGUAAAGAAGCACCGGCUAACUACGUG